GGAAACAGUCUUGGGGGAUCAGCCUUGCUCGUCCGAGUCAUUCUCGCAGUCUAUCUGGCCGUCACAUCUCCAGAACUCAGGAAUACAAC